rnacentral:tRNA from 1 species
CAGAGAAUAGUUUAAAUUAAAAUAUUAAUUUUGGAGAUUAACAAUAAGAGAGUUCUUUUCUCUGA